GUUUAUUAUUGUGUUGGAAUAUAUUACCCCAGUGAAGAAAGAGACGCGUCUAAAGAAAAAGGUCAUGGAGAGUUAUGAGGAGUUCUGUUUGAAGAGCCUAGCGCGCCUGCACGCGGAGAGUGCACGCGAGUCACAGCCACACGGGGGCGCGCUCCGCCACGCGUUUCCACGGCAUGCACGCGCUUCUGCCCAGGUUGCGAAAGGUGCAGGGUGAUGAGCAAAAGUCGUGGAGCAGCAGUACACCAGCCCACUCUUAAACAGUACAGCACAGUGGAAUGAGACCCAACUGCUCCCAAGCAGCCAGCUGGAGAAAAUGGGGAAAAGAAAAGAGGAAAAAGGAGAGGAGGAGAGUCAGCCAAGCUGUAUUAGAGAGAUUCAAGUAGGUAUUGAGAAUUUGGGAUAUGUAGAGAUGCAAAGUGGCAAGAAAAAGGAAAGGGAUGAGUUUGACCCUGAUAAGGAAAAUGAAAGCUGUGGAACACUGGAGCAUCUUCUGGAGAUGGAGUCUAGUAAUUGCUUGAAUAUUAGCUUUGAUGUUGAUUCAAGGUCACCUGACUCAUCCCUGUCUGGAUUUUCCAUUUGUUCCAGUAUAAUAGACUCUUAUGCCAGGUUACCAAGUCCACCCAAAACCCAUUCAUGCCAAAAGCUCAUUUCUGUUUCCGUUAACCAGUCCGAGGUCCAUCUUCAGAAUUUUAAUGAAACAUUUAAAAACUCCAACAGGGGAGUGACAAAUUCAACAAAACAGUCAGGUUUGUCAGCAUCCUCUGGUGUGGACUAGAACUGCAGCUUUUCUGACCAAACCAAGACAAGCUGUAAUUCACCUCUUCCACUCCCAGAAGCUUAACAUCCAGGACUCCAAUCACCAAGCUAAACACAACCCAACCAGAGAUCUUUAAUAAAAAGGAAUCUCAGCAUAACCACUCUGCCACCCAACAGCACUUUCCUCCAGCUCCACUCAAUCAGUCCUAGGAUGUGGAGAGUCCGUCCCUGACACAGCUAAGGCCACGGAUCAGAUCAGGCUCUGAGGCCUCGGAGACCUUCGUCAGAUACAAUCAGGAGCCGGGAACACAUCCAUAUCACAGUACUUCUCCAGUUUUCUCUCUCCUGCUGGUAGUAAAUUGGCUCGUACUAAACAAAUCGCUUUACAGUCGUACAUUCACACUUCAAAUCACCUUACUCACCUUAACUAGAAACCUGACCCAACUGACUACACCACUGCUACAAUGAACUUUCCCACAGCAGUGAAAUUAAUCAUUUUACAAUACGAAAAAUAUAAUUGUGUAGAAAAGUGUAGGCGGGUGGUUGACGUGAGAUUUUAAUGUAACAGUGUAAAUACUCACUAAAAUGUGUUUUUUUUUCUUACAAAAAUCAUAUGUAAAUGAACAAAUUACUGUAUUUUAUGUUGUAGUUUUACUUUUGGAUGAAAAAAAAUUUUGUUCCUGUUUAUUUAAAGGCUUUUAUGCCAAAUGUCCUGCGGUGUGACUAACAUAAAUGAGACAUGAAAUAUAAACAGCUAUAAAAUAAACCAGCAACAUUUGGAAUAAUUCAUAAGAGCUUUGGCAUUAUUUUACAAAUAUUAACUUAA